GACGUCGAGGAGGGCGUGGGCCUGAUCGAGCUCGCGGCCGCCCUGCUCCUCUACAGACUAUCUCUAUCCUCAGUCGUAGGCUCCUCGUGCUUUCUCCCCUGCGCCGCCACCCAAUGGUCUCCGCCAGCGCCGCGUGCCCCCAAGAAAAUGGCGGCCUUGGAUGAAAACGUGCGGCUCGAUCGACCUUGAGAAGAUCCCCAUCAACGCGGACUCCCCUAUGACCAAACCAACGAUCAAUGUGUGCUGAGAAUGACAGCAGUAUGCACCACAUUUGCAGUCUUAACUACAUGGUUAGUAAAACUUUUUAUUCAGCUCAAAGAGGUCCUGCAGUACAUCCUAGGAAAUAAAGGCGAGUCAAUUUGGUGAGGAUAAACUGG